AACCCAUGUUGAGGACAUUUCCGCAGGAGCUCCUUGAACUUGUCCCAUGUCUCAAAUACACAUUCUAAUUCCGUUUGCACAAAGGAGGAUAUUUCUUUCCUAAGCUU